AGGAUGAACGCUGGCGGCGUGCUUAACACAUGCAAGUCGAACGAUGAAGCUGCAGCUUGCUGUGGUGGAUUAGUGGCGAACGGGUGAGUAACACGUGAGUAACCUGCCCCUGACUCUGGGAUAAGCGCUGGAAACGGCGUCUAAUACUGGAUAUGUCCCAUCACCGCAUGGUGUGUGGGUGGAAAGAUUUUUCGGUUGGGGAUGGACUCGCGGCCUAUCAGCUUGUUGGUGAGGUAGUGGCUCACCAAGGCGUCGACGGGUAGCCGGCCUGAGAGGGUGACCGGCCACACUGGGACUGAGACACGGCCCAGACUCCUACGGGAGGCAGCAGUGGGGAAUAUUGCACAAUGGGCGAAAGCCUGAUGCAGCAACGCCGCGUGAGGGAUGACGGCCUUCGGGUUGUAAACCUCUUUUAGCAGGGAAGAAGCGAAAGUGACGGUACCUGCAGAAAAAGCACCGGCUAACUACGUGCCAGC
rnacentral:rRNA from 1 species